rnacentral:tRNA from 1 species
GGGGAUGUAGCUCAGUAGUAGAGCCCUUGCCUUGCAUAUGCAAGGUCCUGGGUUCAAUCCUCAGCACCAUCU